AUGGACGCUGGCGGCGUGCCUAAUACUUGCAAGUCGAGCGAACAGACGAGGAGCUUGCUCCUUUGACGUUAGCGGCGGACGGGUGAGUAACACGUGGAUAACCUACCUAUAAGACUGGGAUAACUUCGGGAAACCGGAGCUAAUACCGGAUAACAUGUUGAACCGCAUGGUUCAACAGUGAAAGACGGUCUUGCUGUCACUUAUAGAUGGAUCCGCGCCGCAUUAGCUAGUUGGUAAGGUAACGGCUUACCAAGGCAACGAUGCGUAGCCGACCUGAGAGGGUGAUCGGCCACACUGGAACUGAGACACGGUCCAGACUCCUACGGGAGGCAGCAGUAGGGAAUCUUCCGCAAUGGGCGAAAGCCUGACGGAGCAACGCCGCGUGAGUGAAGAAGGUCUUCGGAUCGUAAAACUCUGUUAUUAGGGAAGAACAAAUGUGUAAGUAACUAUGCACGUCUUGACGGUACCUAAUCAGAAAGCCACGGCUAACUACGUG
rnacentral:rRNA from 1 species